GAACGACUCUCGGCAACGGAUAUCUCGGCUCUUGCAUCGAUGAAGAACGUAGCAAAAUGCGAUACUUGGUGUGAAUUGCAGAAUCCCGUGAACCAUCGAGUCUUUGAACGCAAGUUGCGCCCGAAGCCAUUAGGCCGAGGGCACGCCUGCCUGGGUGUCACAC
rnacentral:rRNA from 1 species